rnacentral:rRNA from 1 species
UACGGAGGGUGCAAGCGUUGUUCGGAAUUACUGGGCGUAAAGCGCGCGCAGGCGGUCUGUUAAGUCAGAUGUGAAAGCCCAUGGCUCAACCAUGGACGUGCAUUUGAAACUGGCAGGCUUGAGUAGUGGAGGGGGUGGUGGAAUUCCCGGUGUAGAGGUGAAAUUCGUAGAUAUCGGGAGGAAUACCGGUGGCGAAGGCGACCACCUGGCCACAUACUGACGCUGAGGCGCGAAAGCGUGGGGAGCAAACAGG